UUUGAAGGUAGUGAUCAGGGAGGAAGGGCUGCUUUAGAUUCGGCAACUGGUGGUUUCAGCAAGACCAAUGUCUUGUCAUGGAGGGUUUAAGUCCGUCUACAGAGGAGUGCUUCAAGCCGGAAACAGGGAGAGGAAGAGUUCAAAAUGGAGGUGAUCCAACUGCCACAUGAAUGAAGCAAUUAACUUAUUGAUUAUCAAGGGAAGAAAUAAGAUUUGAGUUUAUACAAA